rnacentral:rRNA from 1 species
GUAACUGACGCUGAGACACGAAAGCGUGGGUAGCAAACAGGAUUAGAUACCCUGGUAGUCCACGCCCUAAACGAUGCAUAUUUGGUGUAGGUCAUUCAGUUGAUCUGUGCCGGAGCUAACGCGUUAAAUAUGCCGCCUGGGGAGUACAGUCGCAAGGCUGAAACUCAAAGGAAUUGACGGGGGCCCGCACAAGCGGUGGAGCAUGUGGUUCAAUUCGACGCAACGCGAAGAACCUUACCUGGGCUCGAACGGCUCACGAACGAGGGUGGAAACAUCCUUUUCCCGCAAGGGACGGGAGUCGAGGUGCUGCAUGGCUGUCGUCAGCUCGUGUCGUGAGAUGUUGGGUUAAGUCCCGCAACGAGCGCAACCCUUGUCCUGUGUUGCCAUGCCGAAAGGCGGAACUCGCAGGAGACCGCCAGGGAUAACCUGGAGGAAGGUGGGGAUGACGUCAAGUCCUCAUGGCCUUUAUGUCCAGGGCUACACACGUGCUACAAUGGCCGGUACAAAGCGCUGCCAAGUCGCGAGACGGAGCCAAUCGCAAAAAACCGGUCUCAGUUCGGAUUGCAGGCUGCAACUCGCCUGCAUGAAGCUGGAAUCGCUAGUAAUGGCGUAUCAGAACGAUGCCGUGAAUACGUUCCCGGGCCUUGUACACACCGCCCGUCACAUCACGAAAGUGGAUUGUACUAGAAGUCUGCAGGCUAACCCGCAAGGGAGGCAGCGGCCCAAGGUAUGAUUCAUGAUUGGGGUG